AACGAACGCUGGCGGCAUGCCUAACACAUGCAAGUCGAACGAAGCCUUCGGGCUUAGUGGCGCACGGGUGCGUAAAGCGUGGGAAUCUGCCCCUUGCUUCGGAAUAACAGUUAGAAAUGACUGCUAAUAACGGAUGAAGUCUUCGGAACAAAGAUUUAUCGGCAAGGGAUGAGCCCGCGUAGGAUUAGGUAGUGGGUGGGGUAAAGGCCUACCAAGCCGACGAUCAUUAGCUGGUCUGAGAGGAUGAUCAGCCACACUGGGACUGAGACACGGCCCAGACUCCUACGGGAGGCAGCAGUGGGGAAUAUGAGACAAGGGACGCAAGUCUGAGCCAUCAAGGCCGCGUGAGUGAUGAAGGCCUUAGGGUUGUAAAGCUCUUUUACCAGGGAUGAUAAUGACAGUACCUGGAGAAUAAGCUCCGGCUAACUCCGUG
rnacentral:rRNA from 1 species